CCCGCGGCGCUGCCCCGGGGCGGGCGGGGCGCGGCGCUCAGGUGUUCUCCGCCUCGGCGAGACAUUGACCGCGGCCGGGUCACAGAGCCACGCGGGCUGAGGAGCGGACCAGGCACUGAGACAGGGCGAUUUCAACACUACAGAUUUCCACCUCGGCUUUUCUUUCCCCCUUCGCCUACCCUAAGUGGCUUAAGGUAGUGAUGAGCCAUUUCCAGGUUAUUUUCUCGAGCGAGUGUUGGAGGUGACGGGGCAAUUGCGUAGGUACAGUCAGGAUCCUUGCGGUGGUAUCUGGUGAAAGGCUUCGGCUGAAGCUGCUUGCAUCUGUGAACAGUUGUGCCCUUGGAUCUUCAAAUGGGGUGUUUCAAGCUUAGCUUCUAUGCAAUGAAUGAGAAAGGAAGGCUGGCCGAACUGACGGGAAUAAUUGACCAAAAUAACAUCAGAGUCUCUCCCGUGUAAAGUCAAUAAGUCCGAGGACAGCACUUUUGGAUAGAAAAUACAUAUGUUACCUGAGAAAUGAAUGAACACCACACUACACUGACUUGCAGUCCAAGGGCUAUUCAUCCCAAAAUGAUGAGGAAGGAGAAGCUAAUGCAAAUUAACUAGUUAAAUGCGGAAUAUAUACUAUGUUCUUAUGCAUUCUACUGUAUCAUUGUAACUGCCAACAUCGAAGAUUAAAUAAAUACAGAAAAGCAACUGAGUAACAGAACUCCUAAACUAUA